rnacentral:rRNA from 1 species
GACGAACGCUGGCGGCGUGCUUAACACAUGCAAGUCGAACGAAGUGGCGAACGGGUGAGUAACGCGUAAUCAACCUGCCCUUCAGAGGGGGACAACAGUUGGAAACGACUGCUAAUACCGCCUACUGAUGGAGGGGAUUGCGCCUGAUUAGCUAGUUGAGGGGGUAACGGCCCACCAAGGCGAUGAUCAGUAGUCGUUCUGGGAGGAUGAACGGCCAAAGUGGGACUGAGACACGGCCCAGACUCCUACGGGAGGCAGCAGUGGGGAAUCUUCCGAAAUGGACGAAAGUCUGACGGAGCAACGCCGCGUGAGUGAUGACGGCCUUCGGGUUGUAAAGCUCUGUUAAUCGGGACGCGGUACCGGAAUAGAAAGCCACGGCUAACUACGUGCCAGCCGCCGCGGUAAUAC